rnacentral:rRNA from 1 species
GAGUUUGAUCAUGGCUCAGAAUCAACGCUGGCGGCGUGCCUAACACAUGCAAGUCGAACGGACGUAGCAAUACGUCAGUGGCGCACGGGUGAGUAACGCGUGGAUAUCUGCCUUUUGGUUCGGGAUAACCUUGGGAAACUAGGGCUAAUACCGAAUGGUUCCUACGGGAUAAAGAUUUAUCGCCAAAAGAUGAGUCCGCGUCCGAUUAGCUAGUUGGCGGGGUAAUGGCCCACCAAGGCGACGAUCGGUAGCUGGUCUGAGAGGACGAUCAGCCACACUGGGACUGAGACACGGUCCAGACUCCUACGGGAGGCAGCAGUGGGGAAUUGUUCACAAUGGGCGCAAGCCUGAUGACGCAACGCCGCGUGGGGGAUGAAGGCC